AGCAGCCGCGGUAAUUCCAGCUCCAAUAGCGUAUAUUAAAGUUGUUGCAGUUAAAAAGCUCGUAGUUGAAUUUCGGGAUCAAGGGAUCGGUCAUGCCUUGGUAUGUACUGGUCUUAUUGGUUCUCACCUUCUAAAGAACCAUGAUGUCAUUCAUUUGAUGUUAUGGGGAAUUAGGACUGUUACCUUGAAAAAAUUAGAGUGUUUAAAGCAAGCUUACGCUUGAAUACAUUAGCAUGGAAUAAUGAAAUAGGACAUCAGAUUCUAUUUUGUUGGUUUCU
rnacentral:rRNA from 1 species